UACAGAGGUCUCAAGCGUUGUUCGGAUUCAUUGGGCGUAAAGGGUGCGUAGGUGGCGCGCUAAGUCAGGUGUGAAAUUUCGGAGCUUAACUCCGAAACUGCAUUUGAUACUGGCGUGCUUGAGGACUGGAGAGGAGACUGGAAUUCAUGGUGUAGCAGUGAAAUGCGUAGAGAUCAUGAGGAAGACCAGUGGCGAAGGCGGGUCUCUGGACAGUUCCUGACACUGAGG
rnacentral:rRNA from 1 species